rnacentral:rRNA from 1 species
AUUGAACGCUGGCGGCAGGCUUAACACAUGCAAGUCGAGCGGCAGCGGGACCUUCGGGUUGCCGGCGAGCGGCGGACGGGUGAGUAAUACGUAGGAAUCUGCCCUUAAGUGGGGGAUAACCAGGGGAAACCCUGACUAAUACCGCAUGAUCUCUUAGGAGCAAAGAGGGGGACCGCAAGGCCUCUCGCUUCUGGAUGAGCCUACGUCUGAUUAGCUAGUUGGUAGGGUAAAGGCCUACCAAGGCGACGAUCAGUAACUGGUCUGAGAGGAUGAUCAGUCACACCGGAACUGAGACACGGUCCGGACUCCUACGGGAGGCAGCAGUGGGGAAUAUUGGACAAUGGGCGCAAGCCUGAUCCAGCAAUGCCGCGUGUGUGAAGAAGGCCUUCGGGUUGUAAAGCACUUUAGCCUGGAAAGAAAAAACUUUGGUUAACACCCAAAGUCUUGACGGUACCAGGAGAAUAAGCACCGGCUAACUCUGUGCCAGCCGCCGCAGUAA